rnacentral:rRNA from 1 species
CCUACGGGGUGCAGCAGUGGGGGAUAUUGGACAAUGGGGGAAACCCUGAUCCAGCGACGCCGCGUGAGUGAAGAAGUAUUUCGGUACGUAAAGCUCUAUCAGCAGGGAAGAAAAUGACGGUACCUGACUAAGAAGCCCCGGCCAACUACGUGCCAGCAGCCGCGGUAAUACGUAGGGGGCAAGCGUUAUCCGGAUUUACUGGGUGUAAAGGGAGCGUAGACGGCAGUAGAAGUCUGGAGUGAAAUUCCGGGGCUUAACCCCGGAACUGCUUUGGAAACUGUGCGGCUGGAGUGCAGGAGGGGUAAGCGGAAUUCCUAGUGUAGCGGUGAAAUGCGGAGAUAUUAGGAGGAACACCGGUGGCGAAGGCGGCUUACUGGACUGUAACUGACGUUGAGGCUCGAAAGCGUGGGGAGCAAACAGGAUUAGAUACCCUUGUAGUC